rnacentral:lncRNA from 1 species
AAGACUAAGAUGUUCAAGUCUGAACACAUGAUACUGAGUGAAAGGCAAYCUUUGUGGACUCUGCUGUUCCCAUGUUGCAGGGUGUGGGCUUGGCUGUGACCGAGAUCCUGAGCAGACCCCGAAUGAGCAUGCUAAAGGGCAACGCAAAACCCAGAGACAUCAUUUUUUAUUGUAUGAGCAAAAGCUUUUGGCUGCCGGAGAAGAGUUCUCCUCUGUUGCAUAUGGAACUGCUGCAAAGUAUUUGCCAAUGCCUUGACGUUCUUCCACCCGAAAGGGAAUUAAUCACUGAGAGGGCAUGA